GGGUAAGCGCCACAGAUGAGGAGCAAGAAAGCAAGCAAGCAAGCUCUCGCCAGUCCUCGUGUUGCGGGGUAUAUCGCUCAAUGGUCUUUCCUCUCGACGGCUUCCCUUCCCACUAAUGAUAUCCAUACAGAGGCUUUCCUGCACAGUGGCGUUCACAGCGUUCAAGCAGCCCUAGUGCCGACCCACGGGCGGAUUAAUCCGCGUGAAGGAUCCAAAGGCAAUUCAAGAAGAGCUACGGAAAGCUACUCCGCGCUUCCAGAGCACAACCGAUGUUCGACAAUAUGGCAGAGGCGGCAUUCUAUGUUGUUCGCCGGACCAGACUUUUGUCUCCGACCUUCUAAAGUGUGGAAUGUUCGCAAAUCACCCGGAAUUUAGCCAAAGUCGUGCUCCCGUGGCGGGUCUCUAAAGUCUACGGUUCUGUGCUUUGGUGUGCGGCCUGUGCCCGGGCCAUCGGAUUGUGAUCCCGGCCCUAACUGCCGUCUCGGUUACUUUCCGGGGGUGGUAAUGGGCCUGUACCCCAGGCCGCUUGCUGAGAAAGCCCGGACUCCUUCUGAGUGCGCCCCAAGUGACCACUGAGCCAGUCCUGGGACUAUCGUGUCUCCUGGAACGUCGACGGGGUGCCCGAACGUGUUGUCGUGUUCCCCGGCCGGCUGACUCUGGAGACUCGAGCAUCAACGACGAGCCCUGAGUCGCCACGAAGCGGAUGAUUCACCAGCUAGAACUAUCGCGACGCUACACUCGCCGACUCUCCGGCCCAAACUUCAUUAUAUCUGUGACAUGUGUGUACCUACCACAAUGCAGUCUUUGUCCUCGUCCAUUGCGUCUUCUUAUAUUGUUUGAGGCCUGGGCCCGCAUCCCUUCCCAUCUUACUGUCAUACUUAUGUGCCCCCCCCCCCCCCCCCCCACACACACACUUUUCGUUAGCAUUCUUCCCUCGACAACAUGCUUCCCUCGUGACGCAGACAGCUACAGGCGAUGAGGCGGUCCUCGUGUCAUCCACUAAGCUCUGCUACCUCGCUAACUUAAACAAGAUUCGCGUCAUUUAGAUUCCAAUGUUGCUCUAGAUCUGCGUUUUCUUCUUUUUCUUUAUUUUAGACCAAACUUUCCUUCCACUAAUAGAAAAUGUCUUCUCCACGCUACGAAAUAAAAUGAAGACCAUGACAUUUUCUUCAA